rnacentral:rRNA from 1 species
GCCGAACGCUUUCUUCUUUCUUAACACAUGCAAGUCGAACGGAAAGGCCCUGCUUUUGUGGGGUGCUCGAGUGGCGAACGGGUGAGUAACACGUGAGUAACCUGCCCUUGACUUUGGGAUAACUUCAGGAAACUGGGGCUAAUACCGGAUAGGAGCUCCUGCUGCAUGGUGGGGGUUGGAAAGUUUCGGCGGUUGGGGAUGGACUCGCGGCUUAUCAGCUUGUUGGUGGGGUAGUGGCUUACCAAGGCUUUGACGGGUAGCCGGCCUGAGAGGGUGACCGGCCACAUUGGGACUGAGAUACGGCCCAGACUCCUACGGGAGGCAGCAGUGGGGAAUAUUGCACAAUGGGCGGAAGCCUGAUGCAGCAACGCCGCGUGCGGGAUGACGGCCUUCGGGUUGUAAACCGCUUUCGCCUGUGACGAAGCGUGAGUGACGGUAAUGGGUAAAGAAGCACCGGCUAACUACGUG